rnacentral:SRP_RNA from 11 species
AGAGGUGAUGGGAAUGGGGUGAGGCUGGCUUGGUGCCCGGCACAGAGCGCUUCUUCGGUGGCAAGGGGUCCAGUGUGCGGAUGACCUUCUGGUUCCGGGUGCACCCUCC